AUUUCAUGGUUAGGUCAUUUUAUAAGCUUAUCCUUAAAUCUCCCCCAUGCUUCAUACCAAGGCUCCCCAUGGAAUUGAUGGAAAUUUAUUAUUCUAUCUCGUAAUU